GACAGAGGGGGCAAGCGUUGCUCGGAAUUACUGGGCGUAAAGGGCGCGUAGGCGGGAUGGCAAGUCGGUCGUGAAAUCCUUCAGCUCAACCGAAGAACGUCGAUCGAUACUGCUGUUCUUGAGGGUUGCAGAGGAGACUGGAAUUCCCGGUGUAGCGGUGAAAUGUGUAGAGAUCGGGAGGAACACCGGUGGCGAAGGCGGGUCUCUGGACAAUUCCUGACGCUGAGGCGCGAAAGCGUGGGGAGCAAACGGG
rnacentral:rRNA from 1 species